rnacentral:rRNA from 1 species
ACUCCUACGGGAGGCAGCAGUAGGGAAUAUUGCACAAUGGGCGAAAGCCUGAUGCAGCAACGCCGCGUGCGCGAAGAAGGCCUUCGGGUUGUAAAGCGCUUUUCGGGGAGAAGAGAAAGGACGGUAUCCCCGGAAUAAGGAUCGGCUAACUACGUGCCAGCAGCCGCGGUAAAACGUAGGAUCCGAGCGUUAUCCGAAUUCACUGGGCGUAAAGCGCGUGUAGGCGGUUCGGUAAGUUGGAUGUGAAAGCUCCCGGCUCAACUGGGAGAGGACGUUCAAAACUGUUGGACUAGAGGGCGGAAGAGGGAGGUGGAAUUCCCGGUGUAGUGGUGAAAUGCGUAGAUAUCGGGAGGAACACCAGUGGCGAAGGCGGCCUCCUGGGCCGCACCUGACGCUCAGACGCGAAAGCUAGGGUAGCAAACGGGAUUAGAAACCCCGGUAGUCCUAGCCGUAAACGAUGUAGACUUGGUGUUGGUGGGGUAAAAGCCAUCAGUGCCGGAGCAAACGCGAUAAGUCUACCGCCUGGGGACUACGACCGCAAGGUUAAAACUCAAAGGAAUUGACGGGGACCCGCACAAGCAGCGGAGCGUGUGGUUUAAUUCGAUGCAACGCGAAGAACCUUACCCGGGCUUGACAUGCGAGUGUAGGGAAGUGAAAGCGGACCGACCCUUCGGGGAGUUCGCACAGGUGCUGCAUGGCUGUCGUCAGCUCGUGCCGUGAGGUGUCCGGUUAAGUCCGGUAACGAGCGCAACCCUUGCUGUAUGUUAUAAGUGUCAUACGGGACUGCCGGUAUAAAGCCGGAGGAAGGUGGGGAUGACGUCAAGUCAGCAUGGCCUUUAUGUCCGGGGCUACACACACGCUACAAUGGUCAGUACAAUAGGUUGCAAAACUGCGAAGUGGANCCAAUCCAUAAAGCUGGCCACAGUUCANAUUGCAGGCUGCAACUCNCCUGCAUGAANUC